AGACGGGGACUCGCACAAGCGGUGGAGCAUGUGGUUUAAUCGAAGCAACGCGAAAGAACCUUACCAGGUCUUGACAUCCCGAUGCUAUUCUAGAGAUAGAAAGUUACUUCGGUACAUCGGUGACAGGUGGUGCAUGGUUGUCGUCAGCUCGUGUCGUGAGAUGUUGGGUUAAGUCCCGCAACGAGCGCAACCCCUAUUGUUAGUUGCCAUCAUUCAGUUGGGCACUCUAGCGAGACUGCCGGUAAUAAACCGGAGGAAGGUGGGAUGACGUCAAAUCAUCAUGCCCCUUAUGACCUGGGCUACACACGUGCUACAAUGGUUGGUACAACGAGUUGCGAGUCGGUGACGGCGAGCUAAUCUCUUAAAGCCAAUCUCAGUUCGGAUUGUAGGCUGCAACUCGCCUACAUGAAGUCGGAAUCGCUAGUAAUCGCGGAUCAGCACGCCGCGGUGAAUACGUUCCCGGGCCUU
rnacentral:rRNA from 1 species